AUAUUUUGCUAAUAAUAUGUUAAAAUUAUUUAUAUUAUCAAUAUUUUAGAAGCUGAUGUCAUCAAGGAAAAAUCUAAACCAGCCCCUGAGAAGAAAGAGGCUGACGUCAUCAAGGAGAAAGCUAAACCAGCUCCUGUAAAGAAAGAGCCUGAUGCUGUUAAAGAAAAGGCUCCAGAACCAAAACCCAAAAUUGGUGAGUUUUUUUCCUCUCAGUUCUUUUUGCAUUGUAAACUUUUACCAAAAAUAUGGUCAAUCUAUUUAUAUUUGAACUGUUUAACAUGAAACUGAAAUAUUCUUCUGUUUUCUGUUUUGUAGAGGCUGAAGUCAUCAAAGAGAAAGCUAAACCUGUCCCUAAGAAGAAAGAGGCAGAAAUUAUCGAGGAGAAACUUAAACCAGCUCCUAUAAAGAAAGAGAAAGAGGUUCCUAAAGAAAGGGCACUUGAACCAACACCAGAACCUGCAAAGAGAGUUGAAGCUCCAAAGGAAAGGGCGAAACUAGUCCCUAAAGUAAAAGCACCUGAGAUAACUAAAGAAGAACCAAAACCAGCACCAAAGAAAGGUACUGCAAUUUUUCAUAAGAAUAAAGCCAUAAAAGUCCCUGAUUUUAAGUAAGUGCU
rnacentral:lncRNA from 1 species